UAUUGCUCGUGCUCGUGCACACGUUAAUGUGAUUCAAGGCCGCGAUAUACUCACGGCGAAGUUUUUUCAUGUCGACAGAUGAGGUCACUCUGACACCAUCAUUCUGUUGAUGUGUUUAAAUGACUGCCUUUUCCCUCUCUGCAUCUGGGUUUCUUGAAGCUUUGAUAGAAGGCCGUGAUUCAGCUGCUAACCCGAGCAUCGCUCACGAAUGGAAAGAGACUGCGGCUGAAAUCUCUCCUGCGGCUCUGAUUGAUGGAGGAGUUGAAUAGACGAGUUGGCAGCAAAGUCUUUUCAAGAUUGGAGUUUCAGUAUUUAUGAAUUCAGACCAAGACAAGCGCACAAGUGGUGCUCACUGCAGAGCCAAAUGAUGUCAUGUGACAAGAGGCGUGGCUAAUGUGAACGCCAAGUGAAGUGACUUCGAUUCGUC